AAACACUAAGCUAAGUUGUCAGAGCAUUGGUGCGUAAAGCCAAAGGUUCCGGGUUCGAUUCCCGGCGAGGUUG
rnacentral:tRNA from 1 species